GACGAACGCUGGCGGCGUGCUUAACGCAUGCAAGUCGAACGGAAAGGCCCUGCUUUUGUGGGGUGCUCGAGUGGCGAACGGGUGAGUAACACGUGGGUAACCUGCCCUUGACUUUGGGAUAACUUCAGGAAACUGGGGCUAAUACCGGAUAGGAGCUCCUGCUGCAUGGUGGGGGUUGGAAAGUUUCGGCGGUUGGGGAUGGACUCGCGGCUUAUCAGCUUGUUGGUGGGGUAGUGGCUUACCAAGGCUUUGACGGGUAGCCGGCCUGAGAGGGUGACCGGCCACAUUGGGACUGAGAUACGGCCCAGACUCCUACGGGAGGCAGCAGUGGGGAAUAUUGCACAAUGGGCGGAAGCCUGAUGCAGCAACGCCGCGUGCGGGAUGACGGCCUUCGGGUUGUAAACCGCUUUCGCCUGUGACGAAGCGUGAGUGACGGUAAUGGGUAAAGAAGCACCGGCUAACUACGUGCCAGCCGCCGCAGUAACAC
rnacentral:rRNA from 1 species